rnacentral:rRNA from 1 species
GACGAACGCUGGCGGCACGCUUAACACAUGCAAGUCGAACGGAGAUAAUUUGAGUUUACUUAGAUUAUCUUAGUGGCGGACGGGUGAGUAACACGUGAGCAACCUGCCUUUGAGAGAGGGAUAGCUUCUGGAAACGGAUGGUAAUACCUCAUAACGUAUUGAGACCGCAUGAUCUUGAUACCAAAGAUUUAUCACUCAAAGAUGGGCUCGCGUCUGAUUAGCUGGAUGGUGAGGUAACGGCUCACCAUGGCGACGAUCAGUAGCCGGACUGAGAGGUUGAACGGCCACAUUGGGACUGAGACACGGCCCAGACUCCUACGGGAGGCAGCAGUGGGGAAUAUUGCACAAUGGGGGAAACCCUGAUGCAGCGAUGCCGCGUGGAGGAAGAAGGUUUUCGGAUUGUAAACUCCUGUCUAAAGGACGAUAAUGACGGUACU